rnacentral:rRNA from 1 species
AACGAACGCUGGCGGCAUGCCUAACACAUGCAAGUCGAACGAGACCUUCGGGCCUAGUGGCGCACGGGUGCGUAACGCGUGGGAACCUGCCCUUAGGUUCGGAAUAACUCCCCGAAAGGGGUGCUAAUACCGGAUAAUGUCUUCGGACCAAAGAUUUAUCGCCUUUGGAUGGGCCCGCGUUGGAUUAGCUAGUUGGUAGGGUAAAAGCCUACCAAGGCGACGAUCCAUAGCUUGUCUGAGAGGAUGAUCAGCCACACUGGGACUGCGACACGGCCCAGACUCCUACGGGAGGAAGCAGUGGGGAAUAUUGGACAAUGGGCGAAAGCCUGAUCCAGCAAUGCCGCGUGAGUGAUGAAGGCCUUAGGGUUGUAAAGCUCUUUUACCCGGGAUGAUAAUGACAGUACCGGGAGAAUAAGCUCCGGCUAACUCCGUG